rnacentral:lncRNA from 1 species
UAGAUAAAAUUAUUUUCCUUAAUUUAGAAAUGUAGAACUCAGGGGCAAGAAAAGCCAAGUUGUUAAAAUAUUAUUUAUAGCAAGCAGCAGAGUUGGAAAAAAAAAAAAGAAAAAGGUUUAAUUGGACUUACAGUUCCACAUGGCUGGGAGGGGCCUCAGAAUCAUGGUGGGAGGCAAAAGGCACUUUCUUUUUUUUUUUUUUUCGGAGUAAAGUCUUUC